GGUACAGCGCCGGAUGAACGGAUAACUCUGAUGAUGUUAAUUAAGGAAAUUCAACUCCCUGUGCCU
rnacentral:tRNA from 1 species